rnacentral:rRNA from 1 species
AGUGAACGCUGGCGGUAGGCCUAACACAUGCAAGUCGAACGGCAGCACAGGAGAGCUUGCUCUCUGGGUGUCGAGUGGCGGACGGGUGUGGAAUACAUCUGAAUCUACUUUUUCGCGGGGGUUAACGCAGGGAAACUUACGCUAAUACCGCAUACGUCUUUCGGGUGAAAGCUCAAGACUUUCGGGCCUUGCUCGGAUAGCUGAGCCGUUGUCGGAUUAGCUAGUUGGUGGGGUAAAGGCUCACCAAGGCGACGAUCCGUAGCUGGUCUGAGAGGAUGAUCAGCCACACUGGAACUGAGACACGGUCCAGACUCCUACGGGAGGCAGCAGUGGGGAAUAUUGGACAAUGGGCGAAAGCCUGAUCCAGCCAUACCGCGUGGGUGAAGAAGGCCUUCGGGUUGUAAAGCCCUUUUGUUAGGAAAGAAAAGAAGCCGGUUAAUACCCGGUUGUUCUGACGGUACCCAAAGAAUAAGCACCGGCUAACUUCGUG